rnacentral:misc_RNA from 1 species
GAAACAAGCCACUGUGGCAUUAUUGUCUUCAGAGGCAGAGUAUGUUGCUGCUACUUCUUCAGCUUGUCAAUGCAUAUGGCUUAGAAGAAUUCUUGCUGAUCUUCAUCAGGAUGCAACUAAAAUUUAUUGUGACAAUAAGUUCACUAUUGCCAUGACUAAAAAUCCUGCAUUUCAUGGAAGAACGAAACAUAUUGACAUCCG